AAAAGAGAGAAAUCUACUAUGGCUAGAAAAGGCUAAGCUUGAUUCAAGUCUCUAUAAAUUUAAGGAACUUAAAUCUUUUUCUCAACUCUUCUGAAGCUAAGAUUUAUCUCUACACGAUCAAGGCUUGUAAGGCAAAGAUUGGAUUGAAGAAGUGAGAAAAAGCAUGCAAAAGUGGAGAAACCAUGAAGAAAUGGAGUUUGGAGCUUUUCAACAAGUGUGCGUGUGCACAACUAUGUGUCCGUGUGCACAGUGGAAGCAUGCAGUUAUGCGUACACAAAGUGGAAAAAUCAGAAAGUGUGCGUACGCACAAGUGCCAGCACGUGACCUCAUUAAUGCAAUUCACUGGCAGUGAAUUUUGGGCCUCCAAAACCCAAUCCAACUCAUUUCUGAAGCUAUUUUAACUCUAAUGCAAGAGGAAGCAAGGGGGAGCAAUUAGGUUUAGAUUUUUCCAUGUUUUUGUCUUAGUUUUCUAGAGAGAGAAACUCCCCCUUAUUUCUAGAAUUUAGGUUUUCUUAGUUAAUUUCUCUUUAAUUUCAGUCCUUAAUUCUUGUUUUAGUAUAGUUUCCUUUAUGUUUUCAUACUCUUUUGUCUUGAUCUUCUUCAU